CUACGGGGGGCUGCAGUGGGGAAUAUUGGACAAUGGGGGAAACCCUGAUCCAGCAAUGCCGCGUGUGUGAAGAAGGCCUGCGGGUUGUAAAGCACUUUCGGUUGGGAGGACUGCUUCUAGCACUAAUAUUGUUGGAAGUUGACGUUACCUUCAGAAGAAGCACCGGCUAACUCCGUGCCAGCAGCCGCGGUAAUACGGAGGGUGCAAGCGUUAAUCGGAAUUACUGGGCGUAAAGCGCGCGUAGGCGGCUAGAUCAGUCGGGUGUGAAAGCCCCGGGCUUAACCUGGGAACUGCAUCCGAUACUGUCUAGCUUGAGUACAGGAGAGGAGAGUGGAAUUCCACAUGUAGCGGUGAAAUGCGUAGAUAUGUGGAGGAACACCAAUGGCGAAGGCAGCUCUCUGGCCUGAUACUGACGCUGAGAUGCAAAAGCGUGGGGAGCAAACAGGAUUAGAUACCCGGGUAGUC
rnacentral:rRNA from 1 species